rnacentral:rRNA from 1 species
UACGUAGGGGGCAAGCGUUGUCCGGAUUUAUUGGGCGUAAAGAGCGUGUAGGCGGCUAUGCAAGUCCGCUGUGAAAUCUCGAGGCUCAACCUCGAGACGCCGGUGGAAACUGCAAAGCUAGAGUCCGGAAGAGGAGAGUGGAAUUCCUGGUGUAGCGGUGAAAUGCGCAGAUAUCAGGAAGAACACCCGUGGCGAAGGCGGCUCUCUGGGACGGUACUGACGCUGAGACGCGAAAGCGUGGGGAGCGAACAGG